UUCGAGGUUCGUUUACGCGCCGCUUCGCCGUGCAGGUGGUGGCGAAGCGCUCCUCCGAAAGGUUUCGGAAGCUGGUGGUAGCUCUGAAGAUAACGCUGCGUUAGGGCAUACUGCGGCGGAGGAUGGAACUCCGAUUGAAAGCAGUUGCUGGAGUGGAGCACGAAUUUCAACACCAGGUAUGGUGGCUCAUGCCUCUAAUCUCAGCACUUUGGGAGGCCGAAGCAGGCAGAUCACCUGAGGUCAGGAGUUUGAGACCAUCCUGACCAACAUGGUGAAACUCGUCUCUACUACAAACAUAAAAAAAUUAGCUGGGCGUGGUACCACGCACCUGUAAUCCCAGCUACUCCUCUGGAGGCUCAGACAGGAGAACUGCUUGAACCGGGAGGCGGAGGUUGCAGUGAGCUGAGAUCGCACCAAUCCAUUCCAGCCUGGGCAACAGAGUGAGACUCCAUCUCAUAAAAAAAAAAAAAGUAAAGAAAAAAAAGAAAAUGUCUUUAUUUCAUUUUCUUUCCUAAAGAAUAUAUUUGCUGGAUAAAGGAUUCUGUGUUGACAGUUUUGUUGCUUUUUAAAAGCACUUUAUAAAUGUUGCUCCAUGGUUUCUGAUGAGAAAUCUGCCAUCACUGAAAUCUUUGGUUCUCCUAUAUACAAAGUGUUGUUUUCUUCCAGUUGUUUUCAAAGUAUUUUCUUUACAGUUGGUUUCAUCACUUUGAUUAUGACGUGCCUGGGUGUGGUUUUCCUUUUUGGGAUUUGCUGUGCCAGCAGACCGGCUUUAAAUAGAAUGCUAUGUAAAUGUAUGUGAAUAUUUGUUUUUUGCCAGAUGUUUGGAAGUUUUUAGCUAUUAUUUCUUCAGAUAUUUUUUUCUUCCAAUUGUUCUUUCUGGGCUCCUAAGACAUGAAUAUUAGACUGUUUCAUAUUGUCCCACAGAUCCCCAAAGGUCUUCUCAUUUUUUUCACUUUUUUCUCUGUCAUUCAGACUAGAUAAUUUCUGCUCAUGUAUCUUCAAAUUUACUGACUCUUCCCUCAGUCAUCUUCAUUGUGUUGAGACCUUCCAGUAAAUUUUGUUAUUGUAUUUUCAGUUCUACAAUUUCCACUUGUUUCUUUUUAUAGCUUCUAUGCUGAGACUUUUAGCUUUCCAUUUAUUUCAACAGUGUUUCCCUUUAUAUAUUUCCUUUGGAGAAAUGUCUUCUUUGUGUAGCAUGAUUAAAAUAACUAGUUUAACGGCCAGGUGUGCUGGCUUAUGCCUGUAAUCCCAGCACUUUGGGAGGCCCAGGCAGGCAGAUCACUUGAGGUCAGGAGUUUGAGACCAGCCUGGCCAACGUGGUGAAACUCUGUCUCUAUUAAAAAUACAAAAAAUUAUCUAGGCGUGGUGGUACACACCUGUAGUCACAGCUACUCAGGAGGCUGAGACAGGAGAAUCACUUGCACCCUGGGGGUGGAGGUUGCAGUGAGCCAAGAUUGUAUCACUGCACUCUAGCCUGGGUGAUAGAGACUGUCUCAAAAAUAAAUAAAAAAAAUAAAAUAACUAGUUUUAAGUCUUUUUCUGAUAAUUCUGACAUUUGGGUAACCUUAGAGUUGGCUCUUGUUCAUUGUCUUUUCCCUAGAGAGUUGCUUAGGUUUCACAAGUUCUUUGUCCAAUCAUUUUGGGUUGUUUCUGGGAUAUAUUUGGAAUAUUAUGAUAUUCUCUAUCCUGUUUAAAUCUUCAUAAGAAUGUUUUUGUUUUGUUUUGUUUUAGCAGACCAUCAAUUCAGUUAAGUUUCAGAGCACACAUCCUGGCCACUUUUUUUGGUGGCUGUGGUUCCAAUGUUAGUUUUCACUGCCUUUGUUAAGCUGUUCUUUGCCCCAGUUGUGCACCAUCUAGUGGCCAAUCUGAAACUUGGACAGUGGCCUACACUGUAAUUCAGUGUUCAGAACCUUUGCUCAGCUGCUUCUGGUUAGUUUCACACAUACACAGCUUGUGAGAUGAUCCCAGGAUUUUAUUGACAGAUUUAAGGGUUCCUUUUCUUCAGUUCCCUCCUAUUUGUGAUCUUACCUAUACUCUGGUUUCUAGAACCCCAUUCUUGGUUUUUGGCUAGAAAGUCAGGGCGUUAGCCUCCCCAUUGCCAGUGUUCUGCCCUGCAAUGUCUGCCACUAGUGCACCAGGGGGAAGAGAAGAGUGAUACCUCUUUACUGCUGCGGGAUUGAUGUAGAGCAAGGAAAGUCCAGAAGGUUCCAAGUCAUUACCCAUGGUUCUCCUGGUGGGGCGGUGGGUCUUACUGCAUCUUUCCUGAGGCUCUCUUAGAAUACUGCAAUUAAAUUAAAAAGGGUUUUGUCCCAUAGCCUCCAACCUCCUUUCUGGUCCUCUGACUAGAAACAGCAAAUUGUUCCUUGGACUAUUUUUCUCUCUGUCAGCUAGCAUUUCCAGUUUUCCUGUUAAAUGUCUUUUUUCUUUUUCCUUUUUUUUGAGACAAGGUUUUGCUCUGUUGCACGAUCACAGCUCACUGGAGCCUUAACCUCCUGGGCUCAAGUGAUCCUCCCACCUCAGCCCCCGUGAAGCUGGGACCACAAGUAUGAGCCACCACACCUGGCAAAAUUUUUUUAAUUUUGCAGAGACAGUGUCUCCCUGUGUUGCUCACUCUGGUCUCAACCUGAGCUCGAGUGAUCCUCCUGCCUUGGCCUCCCAAAGUGCUCGAUUACAGGUGUGAGCCACUGCACCUGGCCUUAUUAUGUGUCUAUGUGUGGAUUUUCUAGUUUAUUCUGUUUGGGAUUUGUCUGGCUUCUAGAAUGUGUGGGGUCAUGUCUUUCAUCAGUUUUUAAAAUUCUGCAUUCUAUCUAAGUAUUUGCUCUGUCCUAUUCUUGCCUCUCCUCUCACAGCUAAUGAAGCACUUAGGAUUUUUCACUGUAUUCUCUACAGGUCUUCUGUUUUUUUUUCCAGCUGUUUCUCCCAUGGUGCACUGUGAAUAGUUUCUCCUGAGUUAUCUUCCAGUUUAUAAACUACCCCAAUUGGCUACAUUCUAUUACAUCUAUUUACUGAGUUUUAAAGUGCAGUUUUUAUGUAUAUUCUUGUAAUGUUUAUAUUCAGUUCUUUUCCAGAUUAGCUCCACAACUUUUUAUCGUAUAGUUUCCCAUUUCCUGCAAGUACAUUCACACACCUUAUUUCCUUAAACAAAGAAAACAAAUCUAAUACCUAUAUCUGUGAGUUUGUUUUCAUUGCUUCAAGUAAUUCUUGCCUCUGGAAUCUAGUUUCCUUAUAUGACUACUUUUUACUAUGUGUUACUAGACAUAUUUGAAAAGUAAUUUGAGGCCUACAAUGAAAUUACUUUUCCAUGAAAAGUAUUUACAUUUUAUUUUCUCUGUCACCUGGAGGCAUUACUAGUGUGGGAACACCUUAAAGGAAGCUCAGUGCUUAAGAUUCUUUAGAUCACUGGGGCAAUUCUAAACUUGCCUGUUCUUUUACAUUGGUUCUUCCACCUCUGAUUCAUUAUCAUCCUAAA
rnacentral:lncRNA from 1 species